rnacentral:misc_RNA from 1 species
UCUUCCAGUGAUAAGUUCUAGAAGCACCACGCCGAAAGAAUAGACAUCUGAGUUACUAGAUACCCUUCUGGAAUACUCUGGAUCUAUAUAAACUUCAGUUCCUGCAAUGGAUCUGGAGAUAUGAGUGAUAGUAUUCGGAAAAAAUAAGGCAAGUCCAAAAUCAGCAAUCUUUGGUUCAAAAUUGAUAUUAAGAAGAAUGUUAUCUGGCUUGAUAUCUCGGUGAAUAAUCCUAGGAGACGAGUGCUCAUGUAGAUAUUCCAAUCCUUUUGCAGAGCCUCUGGCAAUUUUCAUUCUUGUUGGCCAAUCCAAAAUCUCCUUUCCUCCUCCAUGUAAAUGAAAUCUCAAGGAUUUAUUGAGACAAUACUCUAAAACAAGCAAUGCAUUGGCUCCUUCAAUGCAGUAGCCAAGCAACUUAACAAGAUUACAAUGACGAACACUGUUAAUGACUGCAAUCUCAUGGACCAAUUCUUCUCUGGUCUGUUCCUCGAAAUAGCGAAGUUUCUUAAUAGCAAGGAUUUCACCAUGUAGGGCACCCUUAUAUACUUGACUAAAACCACCUUCGCCAAGGAGGUACUUGUUGGAGAAAUAACCAGUUGCUUUUGAUAGUUGUUCAUAAC